UGCCAGCCGCCGCGGUAAUACAGAGGGUGCAAGCGUUAAUCGGAAUUACUGGGCGUAAAGCGUGCGUAGGCGGAUAUUUAAGUCAGAUGUGAAAGCCCUGGGCUCAACCCAGGAACUGCCUUUGAAACUGACGACCUUGAGUACGGGAGAGGAUAGCGGAAUUCCCAGUGUAGAGGUGAAAUUCGUAGGUAUUGGGAAGAACACCGGUUGCGAAGGCGGCUAUCUGGCCCGUUACUGACGCUGAGGCGCGAAAGCGUGGGGAGCAAACAGGAUUAGAUA
rnacentral:rRNA from 1 species